UACGUAGGUGGCGAGCGUUGUCCGGAUUUACUGGGCGUAAAGGGAGCGUAGGCGGACUUUUAAGUGAGAUGUGUAAUACCCGGGCUUAACUUGGGUGCUGCAUUUCAAACUGGAAGUCUAGAGUGCAGGAGAGGAGAAUGGAAUUCCUAGUGUAGCGGUGAAAUGCGUAGAGAUUAGGAAGAACACCAGUGGCGAAGGCGAUUCUCUGGACUGUAACUGACGCUGAGGCUCGAAAGCGUGGGGAGCAAACAGGAUUAGAUACCCUGGUA
rnacentral:rRNA from 1 species